rnacentral:rRNA from 1 species
UUAAAGAGUUCUAUAACUCCCAAACCCAUGUGAACAUACCUAACGUUGCCUCGGCAGGUCGCACCUACCUUGUAGCACCCUACCCUGUAGGGCCUACCCGGGAGGUGCGGGUAAGCCUGCCGGCGGCCCACCAAACUCUGUUUGAUAUUGAAUUCUGAACCUAUAACUAAAUAAGUUAAAACUUUCAACAACGGAUCUCUUGGUUCUGGCAUCGAUGAAGAACGCAGCGAAAUGCGAUAAGUAAUGUGAAUUGCAGAAUUCAGUGAAUCAUCGAAUCUUUGAACGCAUAUUGCGCCCAUUAGUAUUCUAGUGGGCAGGACCGUUCGAGCGUCAUUUCAACCCUUAAGCCUUCGUUGCUUAGUGUUGGGAGCCUACGGCAACGUAGCUCCUCAAAGUUAGUGGCGGAGUUGGUUCACACUCUAGACGUAGUAAUUUUUUAUCUCGCCUAUUAGUUGGACUAAUCCCCUGCCGUAAAACCCCCAAUUUAUCAAGGUUGACCUCGAAUCGGUUCAGACAAACUCGCUAAAUUGAAGCAUCUUAGUCAGCGAAGGAAAAGAAACCAACAGGGAUUGCCCUAGUAACGGCGAGUGAAGCGGCAACAGCUCAAAUUUGAAAUCUGGCCCUCGGGUC